rnacentral:rRNA from 1 species
GACGAACGCUGGCGGCGUGCUUAACACAUGCAAGUCGAGCGGUAAGGCCCUUUCGGGGGUACACGAGCGGCGAACGGGUGAGUAACACGUGGGUGACCUGCCCUCAGCUCUGGGAUAAGCCUGGGAAACCGGGUCUAAUACCGGAUAUGACUCCAUGACGCAUGUUGUGGGGUGGAAAGCCUUGUGCGCUGAGGAUGGGCCCGCGGCCUAUCAGCUUGUUGGUGGGGUGAUGGCCUACCAAGGCGACGACGGGUAGCCGGCCUGAGAAGGGCGACCGGCCACACUGGGACUGAGACACGGCCC